GAAAUGCGAUAAGUAAUGUGAAUUGCAGAAUUCAGUGAAUCAUCGAAUCUUUGAACGCACCUUGCGCCACCCGGUUCCGCCGGGGGGCAUGCCUGUUUGAGUGUCGUGAAAUUCUCAACCCAAGACUUCUUUUGAAGUCUUGGGAUUGGACUUGGAGGUGUUGCCGGUGGCCCACCCCUUUCUAAGGGGUUGGUGGUGUUGGCUCCUCUUGAAUGCAUGAGUAGGGUGUCUCCUCAAUUCGUUGGGGAUCGAGCUCUCGUCCGUUGGUGUGAUAAUUGUCUACGCCACGAGGACACGACUCGAAUGAUGCAAACCUGCUUCCAACUGUCUCCCUCUGAUGAGACAAGCCUUUCCUGAACUCUUGACCUCAAAUCAGGUAGGAUUACCCGCUGAACUUAA
rnacentral:misc_RNA from 1 species